rnacentral:lncRNA from 1 species
AUCUGUUUAGUUCAUGUGAUUAAUUGCUUUGUUGAGCGGAACCUUUAUUUCCGUAAGUUAUACGCAAUUUGUGCACAUGCGCUAUUUCCAUGAUGCGCUACUGUCGCGAUAGGCAUAGUGGAAGCGUCUUGAGUUCUGUGUGCUUUCCUACGCCCGUGGAAGCAAUAACUGUGAGAAGCUUCACUGGAGAUCACAGUCUAUCGAAGUGGAAAAGAAAAAAGAAAAAAUUACUACAAAAUGUGUGGGACUUCCAUCUUCUAAGCCUGAAAAAUGCAUAGUUAUAAAACAGAGUUAUUGCUUAACACUGGCACAGUCAUCUCCAUGGCAUGGCCAAUUUGGGCUGAGAUGAGGACCAUCAACCUCUGGGACUCGCAUCACAUGGUACAUCUCAGGAGAGCUGGAGCUUGCUUGUAACAACCAACCAGCCAACGUCUACAACCAUUUGUCCUCAACGGGGUUACGGCAAGAUCUUCUGAUAGAAAGAGAUAAACAUAUGUCUUCAAGACAACUACUGCCCUUGUAAGAUCUUAGCCACCCAUGCCACAACAAUGGCAACCAAACUCCACAUGAUUUUAAACUUUCAGCUGAAGAACACAACAAACAUCCUUUCAUCCAACCGCUAGCUAGAAUCAACUAGUUUCAUCUCUAUUCUGCAGGGAUAUGUGGCUAAACCUUCACAAGCCAAAGAGCAUCAGUAAGACAUUAGAGCAGCAUGGGAUUUAGAGGGGACAGAAACCGUCUGCUCAGUGUGGUAUCUGAGGUUACGCUAGCACAGCUGACAGGGGAGCCUUCUGG